rnacentral:rRNA from 1 species
CAGCAGCCGCGGGAAUACGUAGGUCCCGAGCGUUGUCCGGAUUUAUUGGGCGUAAAGCGAGCGCAGGCGGUUAGAUAAGUCUGAAGUUAAAGGCUGUGGCUUAACCAUAGUACGCUUUGGAAACUGUUUAACUUGAGUGCAAGAGGGGAGAGUGGAAUUCCAUGUGUAGCGGUGAAAUGCGUAGAUAUAUGGAGGAACACCGGUGGCGAAAGCGGCUCCCUGGCUUGUAACUGACGCUGAGGCUCGAAAGCGUGGGGAGCAAACAGGAUUAGAUACCCCCGUAGUCCCUGUCUCUUAUACA